rnacentral:rRNA from 1 species
GACGAACGCUGGCGGCGUGCUUAACACAUGCAAGUCGAGCGGAAAGGCCUCCUUCGGGGGGUACUCGAGCGGCGAACGGGUGAGUAACACGUGAGUAAUCUGCCCCUCACUCUGGGAUAACUGCCUGAAAGGGUGGCUAAUACCGGAUGCGACCGUCCCCUGCAUGGGGUGGUGGUGGAAAGGGUUUCUGGUGGGGGGAUGUGCUCGCGGGCCUAUCAGCUUGUUGGUGGGGUAAUGGCCUACCAAGGCUUUGACGGGUAGCCGGCCUGAGAGGGUGACCGGCCACACUGGGACUGAGACACGGCCCAGACUCCUACGGGAGGCAGCAGUGGGGAAUAUUGGACAAUGGGCGGAAGCCUGAUCCAGCAACGCCGCGUGAGGGAUGACGGCCUUCGGGUUGUAAACCUCUUUCAGCACAGACGAAGCGCCCGUUGUGGGUGGUGACGGUAUGUGCAGAAGAAGCA